AUGAAAGGUUGUUUUCCUUCCCUCUUCUAUGGAAUUACUUUUGUGCCUUUUUAAUAUCAAACAAACCUUUUGAAUUCGUGAAUUAAAUUCUUAAUGCAAACAAAAAAUGAUACUGAAAGCAAAACAUUAACCCACAAGUGUUGAGGUCGAAUAAAUAACAAAGCAAGGAAAUCAUUUUGAAAGGCAAGAACAAAUACAUUGUAAAUGAAUGCGGGAAAAAAUGGUUUUCAUUUAAACAUUUUCAAUGAUUGCAAAGAAACGCUUCCCUCUUUGUCUGCAACAUUUUCUUUCUUUGGUUACGUUACCCUGCCCGCCCUUCGUUUUAGCUGCCUUUUUUGGGGGUUUAAAAGGAAGCGUAGAAGAUGCGUCUCUAUUGGUCAACUGGUUUUGGAAUGAUAGGUCAUGCUUGAUUUUUUUUCACUAUUUUUUAAACUUAUUUAACUUUUCCAUUUUGGAUAAAAAGGUCUCAGUGGCUACUAGAUAGCUAGACAGGGUAAAUGUACGACAAGAAGAGCAUCGGAAAACAUCCUAGGUAAGUGUCUUUUUUUAGGUAGUUAAGUUAGCAUGGUUAUAUCAUUUAUAUCAUCGAUAGCAAGCAAGAUAUGAUGCACUGAACUUACUCUGAAGUUACUCUAGAGGUACAGUAUGUGGCUAUUCGAGAACAAGGCUAAAGGAACCUACCAUUCAUUCCUACUAGUCCAAGGACUUUUUCUGUUUAAAAGGUGAAUUGGCUCUGGAAGCCAAAACAACCAAAUACUCCAUCGAAACAUGAAUCGAUUCUCAAUUGUGAUACGGUUCUAGAAACAUAAAUCCCUCUACUUUCAUAAUAUCACAUCAAAAUAAUUUCACAAAUACAAAAUACACACAGAGGAGGAAGGGCUCAUUCUAAUGGCUCGAAUGGAAUCGAGUCAAACAUAAUUCCCUUCGUUACAAUGAGCCCCCAUCCUCCUAUUGCUUCUCCAAACCAGCCUCCUCUGGUGUACACUGCUUUUACCGGUUUGAACACAGUUGCAGGCGACAGUAUUUUUAAGUGACAACGUGUUUGUGACGUCUGUCUUCUGUUUACAAACAGGUGUUUGGAGACACAGAUAGCUAAUUAGCACAGGUAGCACUCUGUCCACUGUCUGUUUUCAGUAAACAAGCGCUGUAACAUGGAAAUAUGGCAGCGUGGAAACCCUAACCCUAGAAAAGUGUGGAUCAAUUUAACCUUUAGUUUAUUUUUUACAAUUUAUUGCCGAUAUGAAAGAUAAGGUCCUAAUGCUUCCAAAACCGUACCACAAGCAAUGCGUGUUAGUAUUCAAACCGAGCGUCGCGGCUCUUAACACUGGGGCCCCACAAGGGCGCAUGCUCAGCCCCCUCCUGUACUCCCAGUUCACCCAUGACUGUAUGGCCAUGCACGCCUCCAAUUUCGAUCAUCAAGUUUGCAGACGACACAACAGUAGUAGGCCUGAUCACCAACACUGACAAGACAGCCAAUAGGGAGGAGGUGAGGGCCCUCGGAGUGUGGUGUCAGGAAAAAACAACGUCAACAAAACAAAGGAGAUUACCCCCCUCCCCAUCCACAUCGAUGGUACAGUAGUUGAGAAGGUGGAAAGCUUUUUUAAGUUCCUCGGUGUACACAUCAUGGACAAACUGAAAUGGUCCACCCACACAGACAGUGUGGUGAAGAAGGUGCAACAGCACCUCUUCAACCUCAGGAGUCUGAAGAAAUGUGGCUUGUCACCUAAAACCCUCACAAACUUUUACAGAUGCCCAAUUGAGAGCAUCCUGUCGGGCUGUAACGCAGGGAUCUCCAGAGGGUGGUGCGGUCUGCACAAUGCAUCACCGGGGGCAAACUACCUGCCCUUCAGGACACUGACAGCACCCGAGGUCACAGGGAGGCCAAAAAGAUCAUCAAGGACAACAUCCAGCCGAUCCACUGCCUGUUCACCCCACUACCAUCCAGAAGGCGUGGUCAGUACAGGUGCAUCAAAGCUGGGACCAAGAGACUGGAAAAACAGCUUCUGUCUCAAGGCCAUCAGCCUGUUAAAUAGCCAUCACAAACACCUAGAGGCUGCUGCCUACAUACAGACUUGAAAUCAUGGGCCACUCUAAAUGGAUCACUAAUCACUUUAUUAAUUCCACUUUAAAAAUGAUGUUUACAUAUCUUGCAUUACUCAUCCCAUAAGUAUAUACUGUAUUUUAUACCAUCUAUUGCAUCUUGCCUAUGCUGCUCAGUCAUUGCUCACCCAUAUAAACUCAAUAGAAACAUCUUCUCACUGUCAACUGCGUUUAUUUUCAGCAAACUUAAAAUAUAAAAAAUAUUUGUAUUUAUAAUAUUAAUAUUUAUAAGAUUCAACAACUGAACAAGUUCCACAGACAUGUGACUAACAAAUAUUGAAUGUGUCCCUGAACAAAGGGGGGAGGGGGGUCAAAAUCAAAACUAACAGUCAGUAUCUGGUGUGGCCACCAAGCUGCAUUAAGUACUGCAGUGCAUCUACCCCUCAUGGACUGCACCAGAUUUGCCAGGUCUUGCUGUGAGAUGUUACCCCACUCUUCCACCAAGGCACCUGCAAGUUCCUGGACAUUUCUGGGGGGAAUGGCCUUAUCCCUCACCCUCUGAUCCAACAGGUCCCAGACGUGCUCAAUGAGACCCGGGCUCUUCGCUGGCCAUGUCAAAACACUGACAUUCCUGUCUUGCAGGAAUUCACACACAGAACAAGCAGUAUGGCUGGUGGCAUUGUCAUUCUGGAGGGUCAUGUCAGGAUGAGCCUGCAGGAAGGGUACCACAUGAGGGAGGAGGAUGUAUUCCUUGUAACGCACAGCGUUGAUUGCCUGCAAUGACAACAAGCUCAGUCCGAUGAUGCUGUGACACACCGCCCCAGACCAUGACUGACCAAUCGUUCCAGCUCCAGAGUACAGGCCUCGGUGUAACGCUCAUUCCUUCAUCGAUAAACGCGAAUCCGACAUUCACCCCCGGUGAGACAAAACCGCGACUCAUCAGUGAAGAGCCCUUUUUCUCAGUCCUGUCUGGUCCAGCGACAGUGGGUUUGUGCUCAUAGGUGACAUUGUUGCCGGUGAUGUCUGGUGAGGACCUGCCUUACAACAGGCCAACAAGCCCUCAGUCCAGCCUCUCUCAGCCUAUUGCGGACAGUCUGCGCACUGAUGGAUGGAUUGUGCGUUCCUGGUGUAACUUUGGCAGUUGUUGCCAUCCUGUACCUGUCCCGCAGGUGUGUGAUGUUCGGAUGUACCGAUCCUGUGCAGGUGUUGUUACACGUGGUCUGCCGCUAUGAGGACAGACAGCUGUCCAUCCUAUCUCCCUGUAGCUCUGUCUUACAAGCUGACUAGACCUCUCGCAUCACGUGUGCGAGCGUUGCAAAAUAAAUUUAGAAAUCUAUAUUAUUCAAUUAUUUCACCCACACUGCUCGCGCGCUCCAAUGAGCGUCUGCGUUGCCAAGGGCUAAAAUAGAAGUCAGUUCUGUUUCUGACACAGAUCGCGCUGCAAGUCCUGCCUCUCCCAUCUCCUCGUUGGUUUAUAGAAGCAGGUACCCACGUGCCAUCUCCUCAUUGGUUAUACCCACGUGGGUGACUGAAAGACGAACGAGGUCGGUGGCGGUAAUGCACUUAAUUUAUGAAUGUUUCCAAUUGCAAUAUCAAGUCAAGAGAAGAAAAAGCCUGGAAGGAAGAGAGAUGACUAGAAACGAUUUGGUUGACCAUUUUAUGUGUGGAUUAAUUGUCGGAGUAGAGGACCUUGUGCAUUUCAGGUAAAAUAACAACUCAAUGUUUAUAUCCCAGGACAAAUUAGCUAACAACAACAGCAAGCUAGCUAAAUAGGACAAAUUAGCUACCAAGUGCAAGCUAGCUAGCUAAAUUUCCAUAAAGGUUUAAUGCUUUUCGACCUGUCCCCAAAUUAAUGUAAUUGGUUCAGAGUUUGUUUUGAUAUUUUAACUUGCGCAUCGCGAUUGCGUUUGGUGUGGGGAGGACAAAAUAAAUGUAUGCACGAUGACGAAGCAGGUUUGAGUUCCUUGUUAGGUAUCUCACAGUACGAACAUUGCAAUUUUCCCUGGCCAGAUCUACAGUCCUCAUGCCUCCAUGCAGCAUGCCUAAGGCACGUUCACGCAGAUGAGCAGGGACCCUGGGCAUCUUUCUUUUGGUGUUUUUCAGAGUCGGUAGAAAGGCCUCUUUAGUUUUCUAAGUCUUCAUAACUGUGACCUUAAUUGCCUACCGUCUGUAAGCUGUUAGUGUCUUAACGACCGUUCCACAGGGGCAUGUUCAUUAAUUGUUUAUGGUUGAACAAGCAUGGGAAACCGUGUUUAAACCCUUUACAAUGAAGAUCUGUAAAGUUAUUUGCAUUUUUACUAAUUAUCUUUGAAGGACAGGGUCCUGAAAAAGGGAUGUUUAUUUUUUUUGCUGAGUUUAUUUAUAUGUAUAUAUUCUUUUUCCUUAGAUUUGUGUGUAUUAGGUAGUUGUGGAAUUGGUAGAUAUUGCUGCACUGUCAGAACUAGAAGCACAAGCGUUUCGCCACACUCGCAAUGACAUGUGUAUGUGACUAAUAAAAUUUGAUUUGAUUUAGCACUGAGAUGCAGUGCCUUAGACCGCUGCGCCACUCGGGAGCCUGACAGAAGCGGUUGUGGCUGAUGACCUGUCUCCAUAGCUGAGAGAAGCCAAGGAGGAAUAUCACUUCAUUCCCAACAAUACUGCUAAUAUUUCUAACUGUACCGAUGAGAAAGAGUAGGGCAGACUUAUACAAUUACAAUACAGAAAUGUUCUUGCUCUUUAGUGAAGUUCUGCCAAUCAUAUGUUGGAAACCAUUUAUCAAGGAAAACGAGUUGAACACUUUGUGGAAAUUGUCAUCUGUUUCUUGAACACCAGUGUUUCAUCUAAGGACAAUAAUAACUAUUACCUGUAUCAAAAUUAACAAUAAGGGGUAUAUCCUUAAUAAAAUAAUUGAUGGGUAAUUGUGUAUGGACAUGACAA
ensembl:lncRNA